rnacentral:lncRNA from 1 species
GCCCGCCUCAGCCUCCCAAAGUGCUGGGAUGACAGGCGUGAGCCACCGUGCCCGGCUACCAGGUUUGGGUUUCUUUGGUCAGAAUCACGUUUUCACCCUGGCAGUGACUUGUCUUGAUUGUUACUUAAGGUUUUAGAUGCCACAAAGCGGUUAGGCUGUGAGGAAAUGGAAGGGUACGGACCUCUUAAAGCACACCCGUUCUUCGAGUCCGUCACGUGGGAGAACCUGCACCAGCAGACGCCUCCGAAGCUCACCGCUUACCUGCCGGCUAUGUCGGAAGACGACGAGGACUGCUAUGGCAAUAAACGCCCGAGUGUUGUGUGCUUGAACUUUUGGGACGUGGUGUUGGUGGGGACACUGGUACCUUCUGCUUCAGUGCUGAGUAGGCUCUGAGGCUGCUGGUCUCCCAGCCUGACCACAGCCAUGGGGUCUUCAGCACGCUUGGCUCUUUAAGCUUCUCGUAGAGAGCGUGGACCGUGUGCCCAAGGGACCGAGGGUGUUGUGAGAGGCAGGCAUGUCGCCCAGUUCAGCCUUGUUUCCUCUGCGUUCCUCUUGCCACCUCCCCCGUGACCCCCUCGUACUUAAGUACUGUUAUCAUGCGAUCCGUUUUUCUGGUUUGACUUCUGUCUCCAUGGCUUAUUCUAACUGGCACCGUGUACGGAGUUCCACUUUCCAUGACUGAGGAAGUCCAGAUUUUAUUUAUUUGUUUUGAGACAGGGUCUUGGUGUGUAGCUCAGGCUGGAGUGUAGUGGCGCGAUCUUGGCUCACUGCAACCUCUGCCGCUGUGGGUUCAAGCGAUUCUCCUGUCUCGCCCUCCCGACUAGCGGGAACUGCAGGUGCGCGCCACCAUGCCUGGCUAAUUUUUGUAUUUUUAGUAGAGACAGGGUUUCACCAUGUUGGCCAGGCUGGUGUGGAACUCCUGACCUCAAGUGAUCUACCCGCCUCGGCCUCCCAAACUGCUGGAGUUUUAGGCAUGAGUUACUGCACCCAGCUGGGAAUUCUAGAUUUUAUCUAAAAGUCAUCCACAGCUAAAUUUCUGCUAGUGUCAGUUUCCC